rnacentral:rRNA from 1 species
UGAAUUUUGAAGGGCCGCGGUAUUUCUGACCGUGCGAAGGUAGCAUAAUCACUAGUCUUUUAAUUUGAGGCUUGUAUGAAUGGUCGGACGAGGGAUAAGCUGUUUUCAAGUAAAAAAUUCGAAUUUAACCUUUGAGUGAAAAGGCUUAAAUGUUUCAAAAAGACGAUAAGACCCUAUAAAUCUUAACAUUAAUUGCCAUGGUAUUCUAAAUUAUUAGUUCAAAGAAAACGAUAAAUAUAGUGUUAUGUUGGGGCAACAAAGAUAUAAAAAAUUUAACUGUUUUAAUAAAUUGACAAUCAUCAUUGACACUUCAAUAGAUCCUUUUUAUAGAUUUAAAGAUUAAGUUACUUUAGGGAUAACAGCGUUAUUCUUUUUAAGAGUCCCCAUCGAAAAAAGAGUUUGCGACCUCGAUGUUGAAUUAGAAGAUCU